rnacentral:rRNA from 1 species
AUAAUUGUCAGCUAAGUGGCGCACGGGUGAGUAAUGUAUAGAUAACCUGCCCUUAAGAAAGGAAUAACAGUUGGAAACGACUGCUAAUGCCCUAUAUGCCUUUAAUACAUAAGUAUGCAAGGGAAACGCUUUAGUGCUUAAGGAUGGGUCUGUAUGGUAUCAGCUUGUUGGUGAGGUAAUGGCUCACCAAGGCUAUGACGCCUAACUGGUUUGAGAGGAUGAUCAGUCACACUGGAACUGAGACACGGUCCAGACUCCUACGGGAGGCAGCAGUGGGGAAUAUUGCACAAUGGACGAAAGUCUGAUGCAGCAACGCCGCGUGGAGGAUGACACAUUUCGGUGCGUAAACUCCUUUUAUAUAGGAAGAUAAUGACGGUACUAUAUGAAUAAGCACCGGCUAACUCCGUGCCAGCAGCCGCGGUAAUACGGAGGGUGCAAGCGUUACUCGGAAUCACUGGGCGUAAAGAGCGUGUAGGCGGGUAUAUAAGUCAGAAGUGAAAUCCAAUAGCUCAACUAUUGAACUGCUUUUGAAACUGUAUACCUAGAAUGUGGGAGAGGUAGAUGGAAUUUCUGGUGUAGGGGUAAAAUCCGUAGAGAUCAGAAGGAAUACCGAUUGCGAAGGCGAUCUACUGGAACAUUAUUGACGCUGAGACGCGAAAGCGUGGGGAGCAAACAGGAUUAGAUACCCUGGUAGUCCACGCCCUAAGCGAUGUACACUAGUUGUUGUGAGGCUCGACCUUGCAGUAAUGCAGUUAACACAUUAAGUGUACCGCCUGGGGAGUACGGUCGCAAGAUUAAAA